rnacentral:rRNA from 1 species
UACGUAGGGGGCUAGCGUUGUCCGGAAUCAUUGGGCGUAAAGAGCGUGUAGGCGGCCCGGUAAGUCCGCUGUAAAAGUCAAAGGCUCAACCUUUGAAUGUCAGUGGAUACUGCCGGGCUAGAGUCCGGAAGAGGCGAGUGGAACUCCUGGUGUAGCGGUGGAAUGCGCAGAUAUCAGGAAGAACACCACCGGCGAAGGCAGCUCGCUAGGACGGUACUGACGCUGAGGAGCGAAAGCGUGGGUAGCAAACAGG